AGCUGCGUGUUGAGCACAUAGCGAACUAUUCUUUUGCCUUUUACUAAAGAAUACUGUGUGCUUAUCGCUUAUAAGUGGCAUAUGCUAAAUUUUGAAUUUAUCAUUUCGACGGUGUU